rnacentral:rRNA from 5 species
CUUGACCUCAAAUCAGG